GUGAAGAAAUUCAACCAAGCGCGG
rnacentral:ncRNA from 2 species